rnacentral:rRNA from 1 species
UACGUAGGGGGCGAGCGUUGUCCGAAGUUACUGGGCGUAAAGCGCGCGUAGGCGGGGGAUUAAGUGGGAGGUGAAAGGCUGGGGCUCAACCUCAUGCAGUGCCUCUCAUACUGGUCUUCUUGAGGGCGGUAGGGAGAAGUGGAAUGGCUGGUGUAGCGGUGAAAUGCGUAGAUAUCAGUCGGAACGCCGGUGGCGAAGGCGGGUCUCUGGGCCGAUACUGACGCUGAGGAGCGAAAGCGUGGGGAGCGAACAGG